GAUAGAAAUUAAGAAGUUAAUGUCCAAGAUGUAGCUCAACAAUUUAGGUGUUUUGUUUUACUACAUGCAACUAAAUAAAAAUUUGAUUUUGAUUGAUUAAUGAUUAAGUAUUUUUUUCUACAAAAAUGCAUAUCAGAGAGGUUCAAAUCUGUUAAUUUUUGACUGAGAAGUGACUUUAGGAUUGAUCCACUUUUUCUGUAAUUAUCCCUCACCUGUUAAAUGUUCUAAUAAUAACCACAGAGAUAAAUUUACAGAGAGUAAAUUUAGACAUUUAGAGCUACAAUCAG